AAAUAUUUUAAAUUGAAGAUCGAAUUCAAUCAUUGUAUUCAUAUAGGGUCAAGGAGUGUGGUUGUAAAAAAUCAUCAAAAUCGGAGUUAAAAUGACCGUUAAAUCGUGAUUUUUCGUUUAUAACCGUCGAAAAGUUUUGUCCCGUUACUUGAUCUCUGAAUGUUUGUUUUUUUUAAUUUUUGACGUAUGCGAUCUCGAAGUAUAUACAAACAUGUUUGACGGUUGGAUCUUUGAAACUAGUUUCUGUAAAUAUUUUAAAUUGAAGAUCGAAUUCAAUCAUUGUAUUCAUAUAAGGGUCAAGGAGUGUAGUUGUAAAAAAUCAUCAAAAUCGGAGUUAAAAUAACCGUUAAAUCGUGAUUUUUCGUUUAUAACCGUCGAAAACUUUUGUCCCGUUACUUGAUCUCUGAAUGUUUGUUUUUUGCAAUUUUUGGCGUAUGCGAUCUCGAAGUAUAUACAAACAUGUUUGACGGUUG
rnacentral:sRNA from 1 species